rnacentral:rRNA from 1 species
GAUGAACGCUGGCGGCGUGCCUAAUACAUGCAAGUCGAGCGAACAGAUAAGGAGCUUGCUCCUUUGACGUUAGCGGCGGACGGGUGAGUAACACGUGGGUAACCUACCUAUAAGACUGGGAUAACUUCGGGAAACCGGAGCUAAUACCGGAUAACAUUUGGAACCGCAUGGUUCUAAAGUGAAAGAUGGUUUUGCUAUCACUUAUAGAUGGACUCGCGCCGUAUUAGCUAGUUGGUAAGGUAACGGCUUACCAAGGCAACGAUACGUAGCCGACCUGAGAGGGUGAUCGGCCACACUGGAACUGAGACACGGUCCAGACUCCUACGGGAGGCAGCAGUAGGGAAUCUUCCGCAAUGGGCGAAAGCCUGACGGAGCAACGCCGCGUGAGUGAUGAAGGGUUUCGGCUCGUAAAACUCUGUUAUUAGGGAAGAACAAAUGUGUAAGUAACUGUGCACGUCUUGACGGUACCUAAUCAGAAAGCCACGGCUAACUACGUG